rnacentral:misc_RNA from 1 species
GUGAAUCAUCGAAUCUUUGAACGCACAUUGCGCCCCUUGGUAUUCCGGGGGGCAUGCCUGUUCGAGCGUCAUUACAACCCUCAAGCCUGGCUUGGUAUUGGGCUUCGCCACUAACCUGGCGGGCCUUAAAAUCAGUGGCGGUGCCUCCGAGGCCCUGAGCGCAGUAAAUAUCCUCGCUAUAGGGACCCGGUGGUUACUGGCCAGCAACCCCAACUUUCUAAGUUUGACCUCGGAUCAGGUAGGGAUACCCGCUGAACUUAAGCAUAUCAAUAAGCGGAGGA